GCUGAGCUGUGAUGGGGAAGCUCCUUAUGGAGCGAAGUCUUUGAUUCCCCGCUGCCAAGAAAAGCUUCUAGCGAGAUAAAAGGUGCCUGUACCGCAAACCGACACAGGUAGGCGAGGAGAGAAUCCUAAGGUGUGCGAGAGAACUCUGGUUAAGGAACUCGGCAAAAUGACCCCGUAACUUCGGGAGAAGGGGUGCUUUCUUAACGGAAAGCCGCAGUGAAUAGGCCCAAGCGACUGUUUAGCAAAAACACAGCUCUCUGCGAAGCCGUAAGGCGAAGUAUAGGGGGUGACACCUGCCCGGUGCUGGAAGGUUAAGGAGAGGGGUUAGCGUAAGCGAAGCUCUGAACUGAAGCCCCAGUAAACGGCGGCCGUAACUAUAACGGUCCUAAGGUAGCGAAAUUCCUUGUCGGGUAAGUUCCGACCCGCACGAAAGGUGUAACGAUUUGGGCACUGUCUCAACCAGAGACUCGGUGAAAUUAUAGUACCUGUGAAGAUGCAGGUUACCCGCGACAGGACGGAAAGACCCCGUGGAGCUUUACUGUAGCCUGAUAUUGAAUUUUGGUACAGUUUGUACAGGAUAGGCGGGAGCCAUUGAAACCGGAGCGCUAGCUUCGGUGGAGGCGCUGGUGGGAUACCGCCCUGACUGUAUUGAAAUUCUAACCUACGGGUCUUAUCGACCCGGGAGACAGUGUCAGGUGGGCAGUUUGACUGGGGCGGUCGCCUCCUAAAGUGUAACGGAGGCGCCCAAAGGUUCCCUCAGAAUGGUUGGAAAUCAUUCGUAGAGUGCAAAGGCAUAAGGGAGCUUGACUGCGAGACCUACAAGUCGAGCAGGGACGAAAGUCGGGCUUAGUGAUCCGGUGGUUCCGCAUGGAAGGGCCAUCGCUCAACGGAUAAAAGCUACCCCGGGGAUAACAGGCUUAUCUCCCCCAAGAGUCCACAUCGACGGGGAGGUUUGGCACCUCGAUGUCGGCUCAUCGCAUCCUGGGGCUGUAGUCGGUCCCAAGGGUUGGGCUGUUCGCCCAUUAAAGCGGUACGCGAGCUGGGUUCAGAACGUCGUGAGACAGUUCGGUCCCUAUCCGUCGUGGGCGUAGGAAAUUUGAGAGGAGCUGUCCUUAGUACGAGAGGACCGGGAUGGACGCACCGCUGGUGUACCAGUUGUUCUGCCAAGGGCAUAGCUGGGUAGCUAUGUGCGGAAGGGAUAAGUGCUGAAAGCAUCUAAGCAUGAAGCCCCCCUCAAGAUGAGAUUUCCCAUAGCGUAAGCUAGUAAGAUCCCUGAAAGAUGAUCAGGUUGAUAGGUUCGAGGUGGAAGCAUGGUGACAUGUGGAGCUGACGAAUACUAAUAGAUCGAGGACUUAACCAUAUAA
rnacentral:rRNA from 6 species